GCAGAAUUCAGUGAAUCAUCGAAUCUUUGAACGCAAAUGGCGCUCUUGGGUUCUCCCAGGAGCAUGUCUGUCUGAGUGUCUUUUUCGUUGAAUGACAUUCGCACGAUGUGGCCGUGUUAUGCACUGGCGUUUCGUGCGGCGUUGAGGUUCGCGGCCUUGCUAUUCUUAGGCCGCGUGCCUUUAAAUGGAGGAGGAAGAUGGGCUCAAGGUCCGGUGCAGUCGCAUGCGGAUUCAGUUCAUGUGCCGCAUGUGACUGCUGCAUCGGGGAAUAUUGUCCUCGGCCCUCUACCUCGUGACCUUUAGCACGACGCUCGUUCGUUCGUUGCUUGCCGCCAGACCUCAGAUCAGGCAAGGCUACCCGCUGAAUUUAAGCAUAUUAAUAAGCGGAGGAAAAGAAACUAACAAGGAUUCCCCCAGUAACGGCGAGUGAAGCGGGAAGAGCUCAAAUUUGAAAUCUCCGAUGCCUGCAUCGGCGAGUUGUAGUUGCGAGAAGCACUUUCUAGGCGGAAGGGCCCUGCCUAAGUUGCUUGGAACAGCACGUCGCAGAGGGUGACAACCCCGUCU
rnacentral:sRNA from 1 species